CAGUAGUCACCCAGGUUGCCGCAAGGCCUCCUGGGUAACCUACCACCCUUUGUUUAUUACACUUUGUUGCUUUGGCAAGCCUGCCCUCGGGCUGCUGGCUCCGGCCGGCGAGCGCUUGCCAGAGGACCUAAACUCUGUUUGUCUAUACUGUCUGAGUACUAUAUAAUAGUUA
rnacentral:misc_RNA from 1 species